GUCGAACGAUGAACCCACUUCGGUGGGGGAUUAGUGGCGAACGGGUGAGUAACACGUGGGCAAUCUGCCCUGCACUCUGGGACAAGCCCUGGAAACGGGGUCUAAUACCGGAUACGACCACUUCAGGCAUCUGAUGGUGGUGGAAAGCUCCGGCGGUGCAGGAUGAGCCCGCGGCCUAUCAGCUUGUUGGUGAGGUAACGGCUCACCAAGGCGACGACGGGUAGCCGGCCUGAGAGGGCGACCGGCCACACUGGGACUGAGACACGGCCCAGACUCCUACGGGAGGCAGCAGUGGGGAAUAUUGCACAAUGGGCGAAAGCCUGAUGCAGCGACGCCGCGUGAGGGAUGACGGCCUUCGGGUUGUAAACCUCUUUCAGCAGGGAAGAAGCGAAAGUGACGGUACCUGCAGAAGAAGCGCCGGCUAACUACGUGCCAGCAGCCGCGGUAAUACGUAGGGCGCAAGCGUUGUCCGGAAUUAUUGGGCGUAAAGAGCUCGUAGGCGGCUUGUCGCGUCGGAUGUGAAAGCCCGGAGCUUAACUCCGGGUCUGCAUUCGAUACGGGCAGGCUAGAGUUCGGUAGGGGAGAUCGGAAUUCCUGGUGUAGCGGUGAAAUGCGCAGAUAUCAGGAGGAACACCGGUGGCGAAGGCGGAUCUCUGGGCCGAUACUGACGCUGAGGAGCGAAAGCGUGGGGAGCGAACAGGAUUAGAUACCCUGGUAGUCCACGCCGUAAACGUUGGGAACUAGGUGUGGGCGACAUUCCACGUCGUCCGUGCCGCAGCUAACGCAUUAAGUUCCCCGCCUGGGGAGUACGGCCGCAGGGCUAAAACUCAUAGGAAUUGACGGGGGCCCGCACAAGCGGCGGAGCAUGUGGCUUAAUUCGACGCAACGCGAAGAACCUUACCAAGGCUUGACAUACACCGGAAACACCCAGAGAUGGGUGCCCCCUUGU
rnacentral:rRNA from 1 species